GGAUUCCUGCACUGUUGCCAUUUUACACAUUGCCAAGUAUGCGCACCCCGUAGUAACAUGAAUGGGUGACAGAUAGCACCACCACACCCGUGCCCGAGGCUGCUGGUCUCCAACCACCCCCCAGCCCAUGGCGGACGCUGCUGGUCUCUCCUCCUCCCCCAGUUACCUGCCGCUGCUCGCGCUGCAUUGGUGAGACAGACUCACGUCCCUCGCAGCGCUGCAGAAGCCGCACCGCAACUACCGCUCCCCGCCUGCUGGACCAAUCUGGCGCCGGGAUUUGAUGGACACAUACAGUAGCCUGCACUUUGCACGGGCUCCUGCUGGCAGGCAGGGAAAGGACAGAGGUCUCAGAUGGGGAAUAGCUGCCAGCGGUUAUGAGAGAUGAACAUUAUAUAUGGAGACGUGAACGAAGAGCCCAUCUUGCCACACCUACAUACACAAUCGUCAGGAGAUACAAAAGGAAAUAUCAUUCAUCCAGUCAGUAUUAACAAAAGAAGCCCUGCAUCCAGUGUCAUCUAUUACCACCUCUGCCAUCUAUAUAAUUAUAACAUCAAUGUAACCAACACUGCCAUCUAUGUGUCUGGUUACUGCCAUCUAUAGAACAACUCCUAACAUCUAUAUAACCAACAAUACCAUCUACAUCACCAACUACGUAACCAACUACUGCAAAGCUACACUAUAUAACCAAUAAUUGCCAUCUAUACCACCAACUUUAUAUUCCUGUGUAACUUGCUGGGAAAUACCACUGAACCUUGCUGAAGGUGGAAGACAAGGAUAUAACAUCAACCUAAUAGAAACGUUUUUCUCAACCAAA